AGCAGCCGCGGUAAUUCCAGCUCCAAUAGCGUAUAUUAAAGUUGUUGCAGUUAAAAAGCUCGUAGUUGAAUUUCGGGAUCAAAGGAUCGGUCAUGCCUUGGUAUGUACUGGUUUUAUUGGUUCUCACCUUUUAAAGAACCAUAAUGUCAUUCAUUUGAUGUUAUGGGGAAUUAGGACUGUUACCUUGAAAAAUUAGAGUGUUUAAAGCAGGCUUACGCUUGAAUACAUUAGCAUGGAAUAAUGAAAUAGGACAUCAGAUUCUAUUUUGUUGGUUUCUAGGAUCGAUGUAAUGAUUAAUAGGGAUAGUUGGGGGCAUUAGUAUUCAAUUGUCAGAGGUGAAAUUCUUGGAUUUAUUGAAGACUAACUACUGCGAAAGCAUUUGCCAAGGAUGUUUUCAUUAAUCAAGAACGAAAGUUAGGGGAUCGAAGACGAUCAGAUACCGUCGUAGUCUUAACCAUAAACUAUGCCGACUAGGGAUCGGAUGAUGUUAAUUUUAUAAUGACUCAUUCGG
rnacentral:misc_RNA from 1 species